rnacentral:lncRNA from 1 species
UUCCAGAAUUGGGACUCUUACUGGCAUCCCCUGAAAGGCUCCCCCAGCCCAUUUACCUCAUCAGCCAGGGGCUCCUCAGGCAGGGCGGGGGGCAGGAUAUUUAUAUAUUUAUUUUUGUCUCCAGUGCCUUGCACACAGUAAGCAGAAGAAGGGGCCUGUGAUGAGGAAGUCCCAAAGCAUCUGGAGCUUCUGACCAGUCAGGAGGAUUGCCUGAGGCCAGAAGUUCAAGACCAGCCUGUGCAACAUAAAACCAGGAAAGCCAGAAACCCAACCUACUUUCUCCAUCUCUCAAGGCCUUCCCAGUAGCCAAGACUUCUCUCUCUCGGGGUCUCACAUCCCUUUGGGGACCAGCAUCUCCAGAGGUAAGUGACGGUUU